GCUGUAACCAAUCUAGCUGUUUCUGUACCUCACUUCGCAUUCCUGUCCUUUUUUGUCUAUAAAUUUGUUCUGACCACGAGGCAUCCCUGGAGUCUCUCUGAAUCUGCUGUGAUUCUGGGGGCUGCCCGAUUCAUGAACUGUUCAUUGCUCAACUAAACUCCUUUAAAUUUAAUUCGGCUGAAGAUUUUCUUUUAUCAGGUGGUGUCAGAAGUGGGAUCUGAAGCGGAGGUUCCAGCAACUCCCAGGAGCACUGAAUGAACACACAAGGUAGCUGCAAGACCCACUUGUGUCCAUUGAUCUCUCAGAGCAGCUGGGGAUCGUGGGUUGUAAAUGCUUGCCAGACAUCUCUGGGACAUCAAAUGGUCUCUCUUCAACUGGAAUGACAAAAGCUGAAAGAAAUGGGUGACCAUGAGGACGCUGCAACUUAUGAAUGACGUGCUGAGACCGGAAACCCAAAAUAAUGAAUCAUAAAAUCUGAGUGGAUCAUCAUGGUGGACGGCAGGCAGGACUAGAUUGCAGCUCUGACUCAGACAAAGCAGUGUGCGGAGGCUCGCACUGUGAAUUUUAGAUCCCGAACAACUGCAAAAACAAACCAGGAAUCCUGAGAGGACCCACAGACCCUCUGGAGGAAGUGGAUUGCUCUUGCAGGACCCAGGAGACACUCCAAACACUAUGAGUGCCCAAACUGAAGAAGUGGGAAAGGGAGAUCCUCUGCUCCCAAACACACACCCCCACUGGGGAAACUGAAGGUCUAGUUUGUGGGAGAAGUUUCCGACAUUACCUAGAGCUGAGUCAAUUUAGAGAGGUGAGUGAAAUACAGGGGUAGAGGAAGCAGCGGGAAAGGCUCUGGGAGCUUGUAGGGUCCCCAAGCAGGGCAUUCCUGCCUGGCACCACAGGGAUCCUUCAGGAGGGCGGCCAGAGGUGUGGGGAAAAUGCCACAGGGAGAAGAAAAAUCUCCAACUGAACUUUGUAACAAUUUGAACUGGGCGAGAAGCCUCCUGGCCAGAACUUGGGGGAGAGUGUGAACUCAGCAUGCAGACUCCAUAGGUGGGGAGAAAAACCAAAGCUCUUUUCUUUCCCAGCUGGGAGGUGGGUAGCCUGAGGCACGUGCUCAAGCCCUACUCAGCCACUGCCUGGAAACAGACUUGGUGCUGUUAGGAGGGGACACGGUGGGAAUGAGACCAGCCCUUCAGAUUACGUGGGAGCUGUGUGAGGCCUGUGACUGCUGGCUUUCCCCCAACUUCCCUGACAACCUACAUGACUCAGCAGAGGCUGCCAUAAUUCUCCUAGGUACACAACUCCAGUGACCUGAGAACCUCACUCCCAUCCCGCACAGCAGCCACAGCAAGACCCACCCAAAGAGAGUCUGAGCUCAGACACACCUAGCCCUGCCCCCACCUGACAGGCCUUCCCUACCCACCCUGGUAGCUGAAGACAAAGGGCAUAUUCUCAUGGGAGGUCUAGGGCCGCACCCACUGCUGGUUUUCUCCAUACUACCACAGCUGAUGGUCUCUGGAAAGCACCACCUCCCGGCAGGAGGCCAACCAGCACAAAAAUAGGACAUUAACCACCAAAGCUAAGAACUCUCACAGAGUCCAUUUCAUCCCCUGCCACCUCCACCAGAACAGGUGCUGGUAUCCAUGGCUGACAGACCCACAGACGGUUCACAUCACAGGACUCUGUGCAGACAACCCCUAGUAUGAGACCAGAGCCUAGUAGACUUGCUGGGUGGCUAGACCCAGAAGAGCUUGGCUCUCAGGAAGCCACAUCCCUAGGAAAAGGGGGAAGAGUACUACAUCAAGAGAACACCCCAUGGGACAAAAGAAUCUGAACAACAGCCUUCAGCCCUAGACCUUUCCUCUGACAGAGCCUACCCAAAUGAGAAGGAACAAGAAAACUAACUCUGGCAAUAUGACAAAACAAAGCUCUUUAACACCUCCCAAAAAAUCAUACCUGCUCACCAGCAGUGGAUCCAAACCAAGAAGAAAUCCCUGACUUACCUGAAAAAGAAUUGGGAGGUUAGUUAUUAAGCUAAUUAGGGAGGCACCAGAGAAAGGUGAAGCCCAAUGCAAGGAAAUUAAAAAAAAAAAGAUACAAGAAGUGGGGGGGGGGACAAAUAUUCAAGGAAAUAGAUAGCAUAAAGAAAAAACAAUCAAAACUUCAGGAAACAUUGGACCAGGAAACAUUGAAACACUUACAGAAAUACAAAAUUCUCUGGAAAGUUUCAGCAAUACAAUUGAACAAGUAGAAGAAAGAAAUUCAGAGCUUAAAGACAAGGUCUUUGAAUUAACCCAAUCCAACAAAGACAAAUAAAAAAGAAUAAGAAAAUACGAACAAAGUCUCCAAGAAGUUUGGGAUUAUGUUAAGUGACCAAACCUAAGAAUAAUCAGUGUUCCGGAGGAAGAGGAGGAAUCUGAAAGUUUGUUAAAAUAGUUGGGGCAAUAAUGGAGGAAAACUUCCCUGGCCUUGCUAGAGACCUAGACAUCCAAAUACAAGAAGCACAAAGAACACCUGGGAAAUUCAUCGCAAAAAGAUGAUUGCCUAGGCAUACUGUCAUCAGGUUAUCUAAAGUUAAGAUGAAGGAGUCAGGUAGCAUGAUGCCUCCGGCUUUGUUCUUUUGGCUUAGGAUUGACUUGGCGAUGCGGGCUCUUUUUUGGUUCCAUAUGAACUUUAAAGUAGUUUUUUCCAAUUCUGUGAAGAAAGUCAUUGGUAGCUUGAUGGGGAUGGCACUGAACCUAUAAAUUACCUUGGACAGUAUGGCCAUUUUCACGAUAUUGAUUCUUCCUACCCAUGAGCAUGGAAUAUUCUUCCAUUUGUUUGUAUCCUCUUUUAUUUCAUUGAGCAGUGGUUUGUAGUUCUCCUUGAAGAGGUCCUUCACAUGCCUUGUAAGUUGGAUUCCUAGGUAUUUUAUUCUCUUUGAAGUGAUUGUGAAUGGGAGUUCACUCAUGAUUUGGCUCUUUGUCUGUUAUUGGUGUAUAAGAAUGCUUGUGAUUUUCGUACAUUGAUUUUGUAUCCUGAGACUGCUGAAGUUGCUUAUCAGCUUAAGGAGAUUUUGGGCUGAGACAAUGGGGUUUUCUAGAUAUACAAUCAUGUCAUCACAGACACUUCUCCAAAGAAGACAUUUAUGCAGCCAAAAAACACAUGAAAAAAUGCUCAUCAUCACUGGCCAUCAGAGAAAUGCAAAUCAAAACCACAAUGAGAUACUAUCUCACAACAGUUAGAAUGGUGAUCAUUAAAAAGUCAGGAAACAACAGGUGCUGGAGAGGAUGUGGAGAAAUAGGAA
rnacentral:lncRNA from 1 species